UACAGAGGGGGCAAGCGUUAUUCGGAAUUAUUGGGCGUAAAGGGCGCGUAGGCGGCUUUGCAAGUGGCGGGUGAAAUCCCUCGGCUUAACCGAGGAACUGCCUGCCAGACUGUGAGGCUUGAGACCGGGAGAGGUGAGUGGAAUUCCCAGUGUAGCGGUGAAAUGCGUAGAUAUUGGGAGGAACACCAGUGGCGAAGGCGGCCCGCUGGACCCGAUCGUGACGCUGAGGCGGCGAAAGCCAGGGGGAGCGAACGGG
rnacentral:rRNA from 1 species